rnacentral:rRNA from 1 species
CCUACGGGCGGCUGCCGUGAGGACUAUUGGUCCAUGGGCGCGAGCCUGAACCAGCCAAGUAGCGUGAAGGCUGACUGCCCUACGGGUUGUACACUUCUUUUAUAAAGGAAUAAAGUGAGGCAAGUGUGCCUUUUUGUAUGUACUUUAUGAAUAAGGAUCGGCUAACUCCGUGCCAGCAGCCGCGGUACUACGGAGGAUCCGAGCGUUAUCCGGAUUUCUUGGGGUUAAAGGGAGCGUAGAUGGGUUGUUAAGGCAGUUGUGAAAGUUUGCGGCUCAAACGUAAAAUUGCAAUUGAUACUGGCAGUCUUGAGUACAGUUGAGGUAGGCGGAACUCGUGGUGUAGCGGUGAAAUGCUUAG